ACUAACAAUAUCGCAAUCCAAUGAUGUAAUAGUACUAUUACAGUAAUACGAUGAAACAAUUAUUUUAUUAGAAGAUAUUUUCAUAAUUCCAAAAACAAAAAAAAAAACUUUUUGUACUUGAAGUCAAUUUUUAAUUAUAAUCAGAAAGAUAUUUAAUGGCAAUUAAAACUCAAAAAUUUUCGUACAAAACACAUUAGUAACCAUUUUGUUUAUUUGUUAGCUGGUAUCUUUUACUUUAUUACAUAGGAGUACUUAAUUAGUAUGGAUACUCUUUAAUCUUUUCAGAAGUAGCAGAAAAGUGAACAAAGUGAAAAAGAAAAAGAAAAAAAAAAAAGACUACAACCCGAAUUCCCAAUUUCCUCAAGACCCAAAAGUUGAAAAUCCCAAACCCUUCCCCCCAAAAGCUAUCCACGAAAAUUUCCCCCCUCCUUGGCAACUUUAACCAGCCAGCCCUAAGUUGUCCCUCCUCUCUCGGCAAACAUGAAUCUUCAAGGGACCUCGUUGAGUUAGAUAAACUUCAAGAUUCUUUGUUAUAGCUGCAUAAUUGCUUAAGAGAGCAGAUGAGUUGGUGAGACAUAGUAACCUUCAUCAUCAGUGGAUAUAGGAAGGUGGCAGUCCUGCUGAAUCAGGAGGUUUCAAUGAUGUUUCUUGGUGAGAUGAUUGAUGGAGUAUCAUAAGAUAUUAUUUACUGCUCACUUUCUCUUGGACGUUCACAAGAAACAUUGCCUUCCAUGCAUUUGACACAAUCUACUAAUGGCUCUCAACUUGCCAUAGCAAGGACUUUCUUCGUGUAGGUUAUUCACCAGAGACGAGACCUGGUACUGGAAAAGCAUCGGAGCACUUCUCGGGUUUCACUUUUCUUCAACGUCCACUGAUGACUAUGAUCACUAUCCAGUCUCACAUAACUAAAUUUUCUCUUCAAUUUUUUUAUCCAUGUUGUAGAGAGUUAUUAUAUUGUGGAUUUACGGGGACAUGAUGAAACUAUAAUUUCUCUUGUAAAAGCGUAUGGAUAUGCUUGAGUAGAAAUAGAACAACAUUUUUCUAUUUUAAUUAAUGAUAUUGUUGAAC